UGAUGACCCAGAGCAGUUUCCCCUCUGGUUGGAGUCUCUAUAUUCUGGGACACAGAGGUGCCUUCUCUGGGGUUGAGGUGUCCCUUGGACGAUGAGGGCGAGGCUGAGUGUGUUCCCAGCAGAGAUGCAGAUAAUUAAAUAUGGAGCCCCAGGAUUUCGCCGCUUAGAAACGAGCUUGAAUACGGCCUGCCCCAUCUCGACAAAGAUCUGUUCGAAUUGGAAAAAGAACAGAGAAGGGCAACGACCGUGAUUAGGGGCACGGAACCGCUCCUGUGCCAGGGGAGAUUAAAAGAACCGGAAACCGUCAGCUUAGAAGCGAGACCAUGGAGGGGGCAUAUGAUAGAAAUCUCUCAAAUCAUGAGUCGUGUGCAGAAAAUGAAUGGGGGGGGGUUAUUUACCCGCUUUUGCAUCUCACAAGAGCCAGGGGUCACCCGAGGAAUCUGCAGGGCUACGAGGGAAGGGAGAUGCUGAGAACUGCAUGCACAGGGCGCGACCCACGUCUCACUUCUCCCUCCACCCCAGCAGCUGAGACGGGAGGAUGAGUAAGAAUGAGGAGGUGACGUCUCAGCGGCAGAAAGCGGAGCCGGAAGAACCACACGGGAGAUUAGCAGGAAGAUAUAAAGGGAAGGUUUCCCAGAAUCAUGAGCAGGGGAAAGCCUACGAGAGGCAGUCAGGGAAGAAAGAAGGCUGUCACUCCAGAUUGUCCCAUCGUUCACGGGGACAGGGAAGGGAAAAGGCUGCAGAGGAGCCGAUUCAGGUAGCGACUUCCCAGUGGCUCCGACUGGAGGGA